rnacentral:rRNA from 1 species
CUUAGCGGCGGACGGGUGAGUAACACGUGGACAACCUGCCCUAUGCAGGGGGAUAACAUCCGGAAACGGGUGCUAAUACCGCAUAAGCGCACAGUACCGCAUGGUACGGUGUGAAAAGCUGAGGCGGCAUAGGAUGGGUCCGCGUUGGAUUAGGCAGUUGGCGGGGUAACGGCCCACCAAACCAACGAUCCAUAGCCGGCCUGAGAGGGUGGACGGCCACAUUGGGGCUGAGACACGGCCCAGACUCCUACGGGAGGCAGCAG